rnacentral:rRNA from 1 species
UGGCGGACGGGUGAGUAACGCGUGGAAAACCUGCCGUAUACUGGGGGAUAACACUUAGAAAUAGGUGCUAAUACCGCAUAAGCGCACAGCUUCGCAUGAAGCGGUGUGAAAAACUCUGGUGGUAUACGAUGGUUCCGCGUCUGAUUAGCUAGUUGGUGGGGUAAUGGCCUACCAAGGCAACGAUCAGUAGCCGGCCUGAGAGGGUGGACGGCCACAUUGGGACUGAGACACGGCCCUAACUCCUACGGAAGGCAGCAG